rnacentral:rRNA from 1 species
UAGGGAAUCUUCCGCAAUGGGCGAAAGCCUGACGGAGCAACGCCGCGUGAGUGAUGAAGGUCUUCGGAUCGUAAAACUCUGUUAUUAGGGAAGAACAAAUGUGUAAGUAACUAUGCACGUCUUGACGGUACCUAAUCAGAAAGCCACGGCUAACUACGUGCCAGCAGCCGCGGUAAUACGUAGGUGGCAAGCGUUAUCCGGAAUUAUUGGGCGUAAAGCGCGCGUAGGCGGUUUUUUAAGUCUGAUGUGAAAGCCCACGGCUCAACCGUGGAGGGUCAUUGGAAACUGGAAAACUUGAGUGCAGAAGAGGAAAGUGGAAUUCCAUGUGUAGCGGUGAAAUGCGCAGAGAUAUGGAGGAACACCAGUGGCGAAGGCGACUUUCUGGUCUGUAACUGACGCUGAUGUGCGAAAGCGUGGGGAUCAAACAGGAUUAGAUACCCUGGUAGUCCACGCCGUAAACGAUGAGUGCUAAGUGUUAGGGGGUUUCCGCCCCUUAGUGCUGCAGCUAACGCAUUAAGCACUCCGCCUGGGGAGUACGACCGCAAGU